rnacentral:lncRNA from 1 species
UGCGCCGGACAAAAGAAUAAGUCAAACAUUCAAAAAAUGGCUAUUGAGCAUCGUGUGGUCCUGGACGCGUGGGCACAGCCGCGGAACGAGAGGACUGGGAAAAGCCGGAGAUGCUGAAGCUGAAAGCUAGCUAAUAUAUUAGCCAAAACAGCUAGCAUGUAGCUAAAAAAUAGCUAAAAAAACAGCUGAACUUCAAAAUAGUAUAAAAAAAUGAAAAAAUUGCCAAUAAUCCAAAAAGCUAGCAGAAUGCCA